rnacentral:siRNA from 1 species
GGACCUCCCCAAGCCAAGGCUG